rnacentral:misc_RNA from 1 species
AAGUCGUAACAAGGUUUCCGUAGGUGAACCUGCGGAAGGAUCAUUAACACGUAUCCAACGUUAAACAACCCUGUGAACUUUCAGACGCUCUUGUAGCCCAGGAGGAACAGCAAUCCCGGUAAAUCAAUGGCGGAAAAGUUUUGAUUCGGGACCUCUGUCCAAAAGGUAUCAAGUUACAAUCGAGCUAGGAGCAGUGGCAUGGGGAUCCACUGAGUAAGGAUUCACGGUUGCCAGAGGUCGAUCACCGGCCGGCAGACAUGUCACAGGGCUUUACGCCCCUUCAUUCACCCCUUGCCUAAUCAAGCCCCGCGGAAACGCCGGGCAAAAAAAUCUGAACACUGUGAACAAUGGAUACCUUGGUUCUC